AACCAAAUGGAUGGAGAGAGGCGGUCCGGAAUAGGAGAAGGCGCGCUUAAGAGAAGCAAUUCAGUCGUAGUCUAAGUGAACCCUUGGAGAUUGCACAAUCCUAUCAAGCCAGAGGGCCGGGCUCCUUGUCUGUCAGGAGGUCGCUAGCCAGCGGGAGGAUUCCAGCAUAUAUGGAAGACUAGCCUCAUGGGCUGAACAACCACUCGAUUCUUGGACCUUCUAUUCAUAGCCAGCCAUUGUUGGACUAGCUGGAUCACAGCCUGUAAAUUAUUCUAAUAAAUCCCCUUUCUCUG